GAGGAAGGGAACACUAGGAGAACAAAAGCCUUUUGAAUUUUAUUAAAUGAAACAUGAAAAUAUAUGUUUCAUGUCCUUUCUUUGUGGAUGGAAGUGCUUUCAUUGUUUGAAGCCAAAAGUUUGCCAUCAUUCUCUGGGAAUCAAGAAAGUGACUUGGAUCUCGAGGAAAUUCUUCAGAACUGGGACAAUGGGUCAUUUCUUCCAGAAUAUUUCAUAAAUUCGAUGUAACUUAGGAGAAGUUUUAUAUUAAUUCCAAUUUCUUUUACAGACACUUUAGGAAGUGGUGGCAUUGAUCAGAAAAUGAGACAGUUGGAUGGUGAAUACUGCAAUUAGAGAGAUUGUUUACUAUGUACAGUUUAAACUUGACAGAUUUUUUACAUCUGAAUAUGUAAUGAUUUUGAGAUUUACUCCAUCAUACCCCCAAACAAUAAUUAAAUAAUUAAAAUGAAGAAGAAAUUAAAUUAUAUCUUGAUAAUCUGCUUGGUGUACCUCCAUGCUGUGGACUGCAAUAUGGCACUGAGAUACCUGAAAUAGCUUUGAAACUACUGGCUCCAUUAACAAUAAUAGUCAUUAUGUAUUUGAGCGCAUUUGAACUCAAACAUAGUCUUGAUGAAGAAAAAGCAAUGUUGAGUUGUACUGUAGGUCAAUAUUUCUUCAUGACCACCUUCUCAUCCAAAGAAACCCCUGAAUCAAACAAAACAUUGUCUGGCAGGAUAAUAGGCAGCAUUUUCUGGCAAUAAACUGUGGUAGCUAUAUGUGCAUGAUGUCCAUGCCAGGUGGUUUUUAUAUCUGGCUUUAAAAAUAAGGGAUUUAGGUGUUAAAGGUGCAGAAACAAAUUCUUCUAUGGCAUAUACAGAGAAUUUCCUGACCAGUUGACCAUUCUGGAGUGAAUUAAUUAUAUGGUGCAUGCACCAAGGAGAAAAGUAAGAUGUGUGACAUAAUUUGCUGCAAAACCAAAAUAUAUAUGCAGGUUUUAUGACACCUGAUUCACUCCAGACAUCUCAUAACAUUUUUACGUUGGGAUUAUCUGUUGAUUGAUCAGCCUACUGUGUGUUUUGGUUAGGAAGUAUAAUUGGCUGAAUACAAUCCUUACACAGCAGCAACUGUUUACUGUCAGAUUUCUGAUUAUUUUUAUAACAAAACUUUUAAUUCACUACUUUUUGUCAAAAUUUUGGUGAUUAAACUUAAAUCAAAAUUAAUGAGUGUAUGAAAUGUACACUGUGGAAUUUCACAGCAUAAAUACUACUGUUGACUACCUGGCUCUGAUUUUCCAAAAAAUCAUUAUUUCAGUUAAAACAGCUGCAUAAAAUAUUUUGAAACUUGCAUGGAGAACCCCCUUCCCCCCAACAGUACAAUUCCUUUGUCUGUGACUCCUGUUUUCAGAGCUGAACAUGCAGAGGGAUGCUUUACAAGAGAACGUAUUGUGGCAUUUGUUUGAAGAUGUUAGUCUCGUGAUUCUGCUGUAGAAUGAUGAAGCAAUGGUACUACAGUUUAUAAGAAAAAAAUAUGUAUAGGGGAGAAGUGUGUUAAUCCUUAUGUUUUUUACAAUGGGUACAGCAUGAAGAAGAACUAUUUAUGGUGGUGUGACAAGGAAAUGGAAGAAGAAAUGAUUUAUACGUAUAUGAUUUAUAGAAACCGUCACAUAACUUUCUAAUUUAAGAUUGGAAUGUUUUCUUAUGAAGAUUAAAGAAUGUUGUGGCUUGUGAUGUUGAAAUAUAGGUGCAAUAGGGUGAAUAGUAAAUUCUUACUGUUUCCUAAAGUCACUGGGUUUUGUAUCCAUACGUGGGUUAAAAGCUUUAUUCUGUCGUUAUUAUACCAUUCGAGUAAUUCUGUCAAAAUAAAUGUUGCAUUUUGGGAGUCAGAA